rnacentral:lncRNA from 1 species
UGCAUGCAAUAUCAAGAGGUUCCAAAAUGGCUGCCAUUGUCAUGGAAACAGGGCGAAAGUUUAACAUUGACCGUAUGGGAAAACACAUAAAAGCUACAUUUUCUUGAAGAAUAUAGCAUCAAUCCCAAUGAAACUUUAUAGAUAUGUAACAUGGCAUGUACCAAUGUGGCACCUGUCUUUGGAAUUUUGGAAAUGGUAACUGUUACCAUGGAAACAGCA